UACGUAGGGUGCAGGCGUUAAUCGGAAUUACUGGGCGUAAAGCGUGCGCAGGCGGUCUUUUAAGUCAGAUGUGAAAUCCCCGGGCUUAACCUGGGAACUGCGUUUGAAACUGGAAGGCUAGAGUGUGGCAGAGGGGGGUGGAAUUCCACGUGUAGCAGUGAAUGCGUAGAGAUGUGGAGGAACACCGAUGGCGAAGGCAGCCCCCUGGGCUAACACUGACGCUCAUGCACGAAAGCGUGGGGAGCAAACAGG
rnacentral:rRNA from 1 species